CUUACACUCGGCUGCGGCGCAGCAGUCGGGCAUUUUGGACUUAAACUGCGCUCCUGUUCAGUCAAAAGAGCGAAGUGUGCAUGGCCAGGAAGAUCCCCUAGAGCUCGCGCUGUGCCGAUCAUCUACCGUUAACGCUCAGGUGCGGUCAGGGCUCUGGGGCUCAGGACGUUGAUCAGGGAGG